rnacentral:rRNA from 1 species
CAGCCGCCGCGGGAAUACGUAGGGGGCGAGCGUUGUCCGAAGUUACUGGGCGUAAAGAGCGCGUAGGCUGGUCUUUAAGUGAGUGGUGAAAGGUUCGGGCUCAACCCGGACACUGCCUUUCAUACUGGGGACCUUGAGUGUGGGAGAGGCGAGUGGAAUGGUCGGUGUAGCGGUGAAAUGCGUAGAUAUCGAUCGGAACACCCAUGGCGAAGGCAGCUCGCUGGCCUAACACUGACGCUGAGGCGCGAAAGCGUGGGGGGCAAGCAGGAUUAGAUACCCCAGUAGUCCCUGUCUCUUAUAC